UAUUUUUCAGUAUAGUCGAGCAGCUCUCCGGGAGAACAAGUAAAAAUAUUUCGGAAUUUGUUUGUGUAAAAAAAAAAUUGUAAAUCAAAUUGAAACUUGAAGUGAAAUCGGAACUGAACGGAUAUUUUUCAGUAUAGUCGAGCCGCUCUCCGGGAGAACAAGUAAAAAUAUUUCGGAAUUUUUUUGUGUAAAAAAAAAUUGUAAAUCAAAUUGAAACUUGAAGUGAAAUCGGAACUGAACGGAACUAAAAUUUAAAUAGUUACCUGCGCGUUUUCUUUCAGUGUCUUAAAUAUUCGCGACACUUGCCCCAUUUCUAAAUUAACGGAUCAAAUCAUUUUUUAAAUAGAAUUAAGCGGAAAACAGCAUAGAGAUACACUUAAGCAUAUUCGACGUACCACACGAUAAUCUCCCACGCGCUCCAGCAAAUCGAUACAUACUUUGCCACUCACAUAACGCAUGACAAAACUCAAGACAGCAGAUGCUCGUCACUAUACGAGUAUUCGUUGAAUAUGCCAUCCACACUCGACACCGCUGCUCGCAAGACACUUACAAAUGGAUACUUAAAUACUUAAGGCUGCCACCAACGAUCCAGACCGCAGAUCGCAGACACUACAGAAUCAUCAAACAGCAAAUGGAACACGAUACACUUGAUGCACGCUGAAGACCAGCACAUGUAUGAGGGCUAAAACAAAGAGCUACAUACAAUCAUGAG